UACAGAGGUCUCAAGCGUUGUUCGGAUUCAUUGGGCGUAAAGGGUGCGUAGGCGGCGCGGUAAGUCGGGUGUGAAAUCUUGGAGCUUAACUCCGAAACUGCAUUCGAUACUGCCGUGCUUGAGGACUGGAGAGGAGACUGGAAUUUACGGUGUAGCGGUGAAAUGCGUAGAUAUCGUAAGGAAGACCAGUGGCGAAGGCGGGUCUCUGGACAGUUCCUGACGCUGAGGCACGAAGGUCAGGGGGAGCAAACGGG
rnacentral:rRNA from 1 species